GGCGGCCCUUAUCAAGGCUGCAGUUGCUUUUACAUAGCUGGUGUGGUCAGAAAGCAGCCCAACUAACAAUUUUCCUUAACUGUUGUGGUUCCCUUUGCAGUACCACAUCUGUAAGAUCUUGGGAAAAGACAGUU
ensembl:snoRNA Gm23454 small nucleolar RNA SNORA16B/SNORA16A family